AAAUUGAAGAGUUUGAUCAUGGCUCAGAUUGAACGCUGGCGGCAGGCCUAACACAUGCAAGUCGAACGGUAACAGAAAGCAGCUUGCUGCUUUGCUGACGAGUGGCGGACGGGUGAGUAAUGUCUGGGAAACUGCCUGAUGGAGGGGGAUAACUACUGGAAACGGUAGCUAAUACCGCAUAACGUCGCAAGACCAAAGAGGGGGACCUUCGGGCCUCUUGCCAUCGGAUGUGCCCAGAUGGGAUUAGCUAGUAGGUGGGGUAAAGGCUCACCUAGGCGACGAUCCCUAGCUGGUCUGAGAGGAUGACCAGCCACACUGGAACUGAGACACGGUCCAGACUCCUACGGGAGGCAGCAGUGGGGAAUAUUGCACAAUGGGCGCAAGCCUGAUGCAGCCAUGCCGCGUGUAUGAAGAAGGCCUUCGGGUUGUAAAGUACUUUCAGCGGGGAGGAAGGGAGUAAAGUUAAUACCUUUGCUCAUUGACGUUACCCGCAGAAGAAGCACCGGCUAACUCCGUGCCAGCAGCCGCGGUAAUACGGAGGGUGCAAGCGUUAAUCGGAAUUACUGGGCGUAAAGCGCACGCAGGCGGUUUGUUAAGUCAGAUGUGAAAUCCCCGGGCUCAACCUCGGGAACUGCAUCUGAUACUGGCAAGCUUGAGUCUCGUAGAGGGGGGUAGAAUUCCAGGUGUAGCGGUGAAAUGCGUAGAGAUCUGGAGGAAUACCGGUGGCGAAGGCGGCCCCCUGGACGAAGACUGACGCUCAGGUGCGAAAGCGUGGGGAGCAAACAGGAUUAGAUACCCGGUAGUCCACGCCGUAAACGAUGUCGACUUGGAGGUUGUGCCCUUGAGGCGUGGCUUCCGGAGCUAACGCGUUAAGUCGACCGCACCGGGGAGUACGGCCGCAAGGUUAAAACUCAAAUGAAUUGACGGGGGCCCGCACAAGCGGUGGAGCAUGUGGUUUAAUUCGAUGCAACGCGAAGAACCUUACCUGGUCUUGACAUCCACGGAAGUUUUCAGAGAUGAGAAUGUGCCUUCGGGAACCGUGAGACAGGUGCUGCAUGGCUGUCGUCAGCUCGUGUUGUGAAAUGUUGGGUUAAGUCCCGCAACGAGCGCAACCCUUAUCCUUUGUUGCCAGCGGUCCGGCCGGGAACUCAAAGGAGACUGCCAGUGAUAAACUGGAGGAAGGUGGGGAUGACGUCAAGUCAUCAUGGCCCUUACGACCAGGGCUACACACGUGCUACAAUGGCGCAUACAAAGAGAAGCGACCUCGCGAGAGCAAGCGGACCUCAUAAAGUGCGUCGUAGUCCGGAUUGGAGUCUGCAACUCGACUCCAUGAAGUCGGAAUCGCUAGUAAUCGUGGAUCAGAAUGCCACGGUGAAUACGUUCCCGGGCCUUGUACACACCGCCCGUCACACCAUGGGAGUGGGUUGCAAAAGAAGUAGGUAGCUUAACCUUCGGGAGGGCGCUUACCACUUUGUGAUUCAUGACUGGGGUGAAGUCGUAACAAGGUAACCGUAGGGGAACCUGCGGUUGGAUCACCUCCUUACCUUAAAGAAGC
rnacentral:rRNA from 1 species